AACGGAUUAUAGGUGUUGUGUGCCAGAUGAGGAAGCGUGUAAAUAUGAUUGUAAUGCCAAUGCCGUAAAAAAACACUGCAAUGACAAUGAAUACCAGUCAUAUGAACCAAGUUGUGAAAAAGAUUGUAAAGAUAAAAAAGAACGAAUUUGCUGUGUUCCAUGGUAAAGUUUCACGCUAGCGACACCAGAUGUAUUUUGCUUUUAUUUAGAUAUCACUGUCCGGCACUAAGUAACCAACGAGAUUUACAAUUUGUCUUGUGUAAAGAAUAAAUUUAGAUCUUAAAUUAGAAAUAAAGCAUACAAAUGCAAUGGC